CUUGCUUUCUCAAGCGAGUGGCGAACGGGUGAGUAACGCGUGAGGAACCUGCCUCAAAGAGGGGGACAACAGUUGGAAACGACUGCUAAUACCGCAUAAGCCCACGGCUCGGCAUCGAGCAGAGGGAAAAGGAGCAAUCUGCUUUGAGAUGGCCUCGCGUCCGAUUAGCUAGUUGGUGAGGUAACGGCCCACCAAGGCGACGAUCGGUAGCCGGACUGAGAGGUUGAACGGCCACAUUGGGACUGAGACACGGCCCAGACUCCUACGGGAGGCAGCAGUGGGGAAUAUUGCACAAUGGGGGAAACCCUGAUGCAGCGACGCCGCGUGGAGGAAGAAGGUCUUCGGAUUGUAAACUCCUGUUGUUGAGGAAGAUAAUGACGGUACUCAACAAGGAAGUGACGGCUAACUACGUGCCAGCAGCCGCGGUAAAACGUAGGUCACAAGCGUUGUCCGGAAUUACUGGGUGUAAAGGGAGCGCAGGCGGGAAGACAAGUUGGAAGUGAAAUCCAUGGGCUCAACCCAUGAACUGCUUUCAAAACUGUUUUUCUUGAGUAGUGCAGAGGUAGGCGGAAUUCCCGGUGUAGCGGUGGAAUGCGU
rnacentral:rRNA from 1 species